UUUAGCCUACGGGACGCAGCAGUGGGGAAUAUUGCACAAUGGGGGAAACCCUGAUGCAGCGACGCCGCGUGAGUGAAGAAGUAUUUCGGUAUGUAAAGCUCUAUCAGCAGGGAAGAAAAAAGACGGUACCUAACUAAGAAGCCCCGGCUAACUACGUGCCAGCAGCCGCGGUAAUACGUAGGGGGCAAGCGUUAUCCGGAUUUACUGGGUGUGAAGGGAGCGUAGACGGUGCAGCAAGUCUGAUGUGAAAGGUCGGGGCCCAACCCCGGGACUGCAUUGGAAACUGUUGAACUGGAGUACAGGAG
rnacentral:rRNA from 1 species